GGCUGCGCCGGCCGCCUGAGAGCGCGGCCCGCCCACCGGGUCACAUGGCUCGGCGCCGAGCAGAGGAUCAAAGGGGCUUUGUGGCCGAGGAACAAGGAGCCUCCCGGAGCGCGGGCAGAGGUGCAGCCCUAGAAAAGACAAAAAGACAAAUUAUAUGAAGUUCCUAGGAGCCACAGUACAGAGAAACAGGUAACGUUAAUAUUCAUGCACCCUAACCUAAGAGCUAAAAUAAAGUAUUACCAACUCGACAUGUGAUCAAUAUAAAAAUAUUUGAGAUGUUCUGCAUUUUUUUCCUUCUGCACCAAGUCUUUGAGAUCCAGGGUGCGUCUUACAUGUAUGGCACCUCUUGGGUGGGACGGGCCAUGUUUCCAGUGGUCGAUGGCCACACCCACACGUGGCCGGGGCGACUGUCCGGGACCGUGCGCCUCUCAACCGUCUCAACUGCACCCUGAGAUCACACCAGAUCCUUGGAGAACAGUUCAUUUGGAACCUUGUCAGCCCCAUGCGUGCAGCCCCUCGGGGACGGGAAGGGACACCCACCUGCAUCAGUGGAGAUACCGUUGAGGCCACUGACCCCUGUACCACAGUGUCCCCUUUCUGGAGACACAGCAGGGACACUUCUCAGAUUCCACUAUCAGAAAGAGCAGAGUUGCUCCUAAGAAAUCACUGUGCCGGGAGUUCCCGUCGUGGCUCGGUGGAAACGCAUCUGACUAGCAUCCAUGAGGACACAGGUUUGAUUCUGGCCUCACUCGGGGUUAAGGAUCUGGCGUUGCCGUGACCUGUGGUGAAGGCCGGCGGCUACAGCUCCAAUUUGACCUCUAGCCUGGGAACCUCCAUAUGCCGCAAGUGCGGCCCUAAAAGACAAAAAAAGAAAGAAAGAAGGAAAGCACUUUGCCAGACGCGUGCUGAGCUUUGGUCACAUGGUUCCAAGAUGCCAGUUCGGCGACUGCCAACCCAGCCCUUUCUGGGGUUCUCUCUGGGGCUCAGGUAUUCAGGGCCAGGAUGAACCCUUGACUCGAAGACAGUGGCUCCAGGAACUUCCCCAGCAGCACGGAGCCAGGAACCCUUUCUGACACCCAGGCGACUGCAACUCCUGCCCCCUGAGCGGAGCACCCAGGCGCGGGCCUCCUAGGCGUCCGCCACGUGCCCCGCGCGCCUCUGUUUAUCGACUUCAAAGCCACACGGCACUGAUUAAAAGACAGUCUAUAGAGACAGAAAGCGGUGGUUGCCAAGGCGGGGGGAUGCCGCGCGACUGCUUCACGGACGUGGGGUUUCCUUUCCAUGUGAUGAAAACGUUCUGGAAGUGAACACAGCGGUGAUGGUUGUGCAACCAUGUGCAUGUGUUUGCGGUAGAUUAAAGAAGAGAGAAUUUAACGGG